AUGGAGCUGUUCACGCUGCCAUACUACUCGUACCACUUGGCCCUAUGCAUCUUGUUAGCUCUCCUCUACCAUGCCGUCCUACGCGCCGCCGCCGCCGCUGCCACCAGGCGUCCCCGCUCGAAGCUGCCUCCCGGUCCGUGGCAGCUUCCGAUCAUCGGCAGCCUGCACCACCUGUUGCGUGGGCUCCCACACCACAUCAUGCGCGACCUCUCCCUCCGCCAUGGCCCGCUCAUGCUGCUCCGCGUGUGCGAGCGGGAGGCCAUCGUUGUCUCCUCCGCCGAGGCCGCGAGGGAGAUCUACAAGGGCAACGAGGCCGCCUUCUCGGCGCGGCUAAGCAGCCCGGGCAUCGACGAGCUCUCCAGGCACGGCCAGGGAAUCGUCUUCGCGCCCUACGGCGACCACUGGCGGCUGCUCCGCCGGAUCCUCAUGAUGGAGCUGCUCAGCGCGUGGCGAGUCGAGGCAUUCCGACGGAUCCGCGAGGAGGAGGCGGCGCGCCUGGGCUCGUCGCUUCAGGCGACGUCCGAUGGUCGACUCGUCAACAUCGGCGAGCGGCUGGAGGAGUUCGUGACAGACUCGGUGGUGCGUGCCAUCUUUGGGGACAGGCUGCCCGAUAGGGCCACGUUUCUGAGGAUCGUCAAGCAAGGAAUGGACCUGUCGUUGAUUUUCGGCCUCCGGGACCUCUUCCCUUCGUCGUGGCUAGUUCGACUUGUGCCGCGCGGCGGCGGCGGCAAGGCGGAGCGGCACCGUCAGGAGGUGUUCAGCGUUAUGGACAGCAUCCUCAAGAGUCACGAGGAGAGGAGGGCAGCCAGAGAUGGAGAUGCCGAGCAGGACAUGGUCCAAGUGUUACUCAGGAUCCAAAAAGAUGCCAGUACGCGAGUCUCCCUAACCGACGGAGUCAUAAGGGCACUCCUCAUAGAUGUCUUUGGUGCAGCACUUGACACCACAGCUACUAGUCUACAAUGGGUGAUGGCUGAACUAAUGGCGAACCCAAGGGUGAUGCGGCGCGUGCAGUCCGAGGCAGAUUGUGCUCUCGCAGGACAGGCUACAGUACAAGAGGCCGCACUAAAGAGCAUGCAAUACCUCAGGGCAGUUAUUAAAGAGACCUUGCGGCUACACCCUCCUGCCGUGCUCUUCCCUAGAAUGUGCGUGGAAGACUGCAAGAUUCAAGGAUAUGAUGUACCAUGA
rnacentral:rRNA from 1 species